AAAGCGUCAAGUCAACAUUUCAUUCUCUCUGAGUGAUGAAAGCGGCAAGAAGCAAGCGUCGUCGGAACGCCGGCCCGGCUAUCAUAACACUUAAGUGGCCGACCGAUAAAUAACCGAUAUAAAACGUUACAGUCUCCAGACAUAUAAGGUCAAUAUUAAUAAAAGCCUGGCCACACAAUCGCAAGGCAUAAAAAUGGAAUUAAUGUUGGGACGUUACUUUCUGAAUAUCAACAAGCUCAGGCCUCAGGAUCCGUCUGGAGAUUGGCUGUGGAUUUAUGCUGUUGCGCCGCUCUUCUCUCAGAAGUGCUGACGGGGAAAAGGAGGGGGCAACAAGCGUCGGUGAUCAAGGAAAAUUGCUGCGCUCAGGGGGAACAGCGAAUCCUGCAGAGACGGACAGACGGACGGAUGCUGAGGAACGUAGUCAGACCUCAUUUUGAGUCUUUUGUUUGUCCGAUCGAGGGGGAAGGAGCAGCAUUCUCAGGGAGAUGAGCGGCGGCCGAACGAGAAUGUGACAUUUGCAAAGGUGGCGUGAGAGCGGUCGCAUGGCAACUACAAGCAAAAGGGACGGACGGGGUCGUUUUACGUAGGCCUCUCUCAGUAACGGCAAUUAUUUUUAAACUCCGAAACAAGCACCUGUUCCGAGCGCUGGUAUGCGUUACCACUGUGGUUCCUCUCACCGGACAAUUCAUGAGGUAUAUCGGCACACCCGAUUUAAGCAAACAUCGCUUUUGUUCGUGAGGCAUUCCGCAACGAAGUGUUGAGGUCAAACUGUCAGGUAAUGUUUUACACAGCAUUUGAACUUUUGUGCAAGCGUGAAAAUAAAACUGGUUGGGUUGUAGUUUC